rnacentral:lncRNA from 1 species
UGAAAAUGUGCUCAACAUCGUUAAUAAUCAGAGAAUGCAAAUGAAAACCACAAUGAACUAUCACCUCACUGUUACACGCUGUUGACAGACGUGUAAUUGGUACAGCCGUUAUAAAAAACAGUGUAAUGGUUCCUUGGAAAAUCAAAAUAGAUCUACCAUGUGACCCAGCAGUUCAUCUGUUAAGUAUGUACCACCCCCCAAAAAUGAAGUCCACAUCUCAUAUAGAUAUCUCCAGUACUAACUAAUUGUAACUCAUUAAUUACACAGGAAAUUAGAGUUUCUAUUUGAAAAGAAUGUUUUUUUCACCAUUCUGGUAUCAAAUAUUUAUUCUAGUCAUCUCUUCUUAUUUCUUGCUUUGUAAUAACCUAGGUACUCACUACCCAUUGACAGAACCAACUUAUUAUUCCAACAAGAAAUGAGAAAUACUGAGGAGAAUGCAAUGUGAUACUUCUGUCUUCAACCAGUUAUUCCAGUUUUAUGGAGGAUUCUGUAUUUAACUCUUACUCAGGACUCCAGAAACUGGGCCCAUAUAAGAACACACAAGGAGGCAUCGCACUACCUGACUUCAAAAUAUACUACAAAGAGAUGGUGACAAAAGAGUAAAUGAACAAUGUCAGAAUCAAAAGAUACUCUGCCUGGUAAGAACUUGCAAUGGAAUUUUUUAAA